rnacentral:rRNA from 1 species
GAUGAACGCUGACAGAAUGCUUAACACAUGCAAGUCUUUGGCGAAGCUGUGCUUGCACAGCCUAGCCAAGGCGGACGGGUGAGUAACGCGUAAGGAACUUGCCCUGCAGUCAGGGAUAACAGACGGAAACGACUGAUAAGACCUGGUAAAGUCAGGCGGACUCAUGUCCAGCCUGAUGAAAAGAGAUGCUGCAGGAGAGCCUUGCGUCCUAUUAGCUUGUUGGGGGGGUAACGGCCCACCAAGGCGAUGAUAGGUAGCCGGCCUGAGAGGGUGGACGGCCACAAGGGGACUGAGAUACGGCCCUUACUCCUACGGGAGGCAGCAGUGGGGAAUAUUGGACAAAGGGGGCAACGCUGAUCCAGCAAUUCUGUGUGCACGAUGAAGGUUUUCGGAUUGUAAAGUGCUUUCAGCAGGGAAGAAAAAAAUGACGGUACCUGCAGAAGAAGCGACGGCUAAAUACGUG